AGUUGACUAAGCUUUAGAAAAGCGUAUAUUUUGAAAAUAUAAAAUAGAUGUUAAAUUCAUCUAUCAACUU
rnacentral:tRNA from 2 species